rnacentral:misc_RNA from 1 species
UAUUCGAAGAGGAAAUGAUUGUUCAACACAUUGGUGCCACUACACAAGGAUUUUGAUUCAAAAUUCUUUACCGCAACUGAUGCAUUCCUACACCAUCAAACAUACCCAUUGUUUCCUAUGUUAGAGGUUUUUGCUUAGUCUUAUUGAUUCAGACAAUUCAAAACUGAAAUCACACGCAUAAUUUAUCUAAAAUAAGUACAGCAUGAACUGUCAAUUGCUGCUGCAUCUAUUCAGCAAUGCCAAGGAUCCCAAUUUGAACUGGUCUCCCAACCAAUCAUCAUCAUUGGAACAAUUUGAUAUUAACUAAAUUGAACCCUGAUUUGACAAUCAGGGAAACCACCACAUGAACAAAUUGCAGAAUCAAAUUUCUUCCCAUGAGUGCAUACAUGGUGGCCAGCAGCAUUAAAAGCAGAUAAAGGGCAAAAAAAGGUAAUAAUUUGGGUAAAUAUUCAUGGUUCCAUAUUAUAACAAGCAGGCUAAGGAGGACCCGAAAUGGUUUGAGUAACUAUUUGCGUGUCAGAUGAUUACAUUCCAAAUAACCCCAAAGACAGUCACCAACUACCAAUCUACCAUGAUCCUUCAGCACCAACUGUUGGAUUCUGGAAUGCGGAAAAUCCCCAGAAGGUCUUCAGUGCAUAAGGCUGGGAAAUUGUUACACCUUCCUCAGUAAUUUUAGCUAUCUGCAGUUUUCAAAAUUGCAAACAAGUCAUGUAUCAAAUUAGAGAGAGAGAGAGUUUUAUUGAGACAAUCAUCUGCUGUUGGAACAAAAAAAAAAAAAGGUUUGAUCGACACUAACUGAAGCCAAACAAUUUCAUUUAGAACACAUUAUCCUUAAAUUCACACAUGUAGAACAUGUGUAUACUGCCCAAAUGGACCACCAGCCUAAGCCUUUCUAAAAGUCUAAGCGCAUAGCCAAAUUCUUACUAAAACGUGCUACCCUAAAAAUAUAAUUUUAAAUAAUCUAAGACUCACUUAACAAGAAGCAUUCACAAUUACCCCAAUGAAAAUAUUUGGCUGGGAAAGAAUCUCUAAGAAGAAUGUAAGCAAAGACAUGCUUGGCACGCACAUGCAGACAAACACAAUGAACUCACUUAAGAAAUGACUUAACAAAUGCCAAGGUUUCAGAUAACAUAUGUAGAGCAACUGAUCACUGUCAAUGUUGUCAAUUAGACAAAGAGUUGAAUAUCAAAUUUCAGUAACAUAGAAUAACAUAUAUCAAGACUUUGACUUCAUUCUUCUUUUUCCUUUCUCCCUAGUAGAUCAAUCUUUUUUUCUAAGACAGGAAAGAUGUACCAACCAUAUGAUAUAAUCAAAUACAAGUCUCUCUUGCUUUUGAAUGCCCUUUUUGAGAAUCUUUUCCCCCCUGAUGGUUUCUGCAAACAUAACCUACUAUUCUGAUCAUAUUAUUGCUUCUGUAUUCAACCAUUUAAGACAGCAUUCAAUAGCAGCUCCUUCUCUCCCGUUUUUAUCUGAUCUAUCAUCUGGGAGGAGGUAUAAUAGUAUGACAAUAAAGCAUGGAUAGUGCAGUUGUGAGAUGUGAGAUGAAAGUAGCAUUCUGCAAUUUCUCAAUUAAGCCGAUGAGGGAUCUAUCAAGCAACAUAGCAAGCAUCAAACCAGAAUUGCAAUGGAAUCAGUUGCUAUUCUCUAGAAGGAAAUUACAAGCAUGGCUCAAAGGCAGUGCCCCAAAGCUACAGGAAACACGAAAAGGUAAGGAUGGCAGCUUCCGCUAUUUUGAUCAAAGGCAACCACGUCCUUAUGCUUAACACAUGAAAUUCAAUUCAUACACUGUAACAAGAAAUAAGCUCCUACUCAAUGAGCAUAAAGCAGUUAAGUACCAAUAAAUUCCAAGGACUUCAAUUCAAACCAAAGGACCAUUAACACUAUCAAUGGAGUUUAACUCAAACCAAAGGAGCCUGAACAUUAUCAUCCUGAAUCAGAUAUGUUAAUCAUUUUUCAGCACAAAGACAACCAAGUCCAACGAACAAUUUCAGCAAACUACAACAGAAUUAAUCACUUCCUAGCAAAUAAUCAGGAAAAAUAUUAAUAACGAUGCAAUAACAAAGAAAAUAACCAAACCUGAAGCUUGUUUAUGGCAGACCUAUCGCGAUACAGAAGCACACGCAUGCAUUUCUCCAGUAACUUAACACCAUCUUCAAAACUCAGGUUCUCAUGCCACUCAUCACGAAGUAUUGGCCGUGCAAGGUGAUUUCCAAAUCCAGUUGCUACAUGAUUGUCCUCGAAAUUUACUCCUAUCAUACUGACCUGAGAAAUGCAUAUUUAGGAACAAAAUGAACUCAUUACUAAACUGCACAGAGCUUGUUUGCCCCUCCUUUUAUGGGUGUCAAAAAAUAGCAAAUAAUUAUUAACUUAUGGUUAUGCAUUAAGGUAAAAAAAUGUAACCGAGGUCUACCAUUCCGAGAUACUUCUGUCCAUUUUUAACUCCACCAAGAACAAGUGAAUUCCACAAUGGAUUGAAUUUGUUGCGUCUAUUAUACAUCACCCUUGUCAAAUAGCUGUGCACCUCUUUAGGGCCCAAAGAAUUGCCAUCAUCCCACAUAUUGUCAUACAGGAUGAGCUCAUCAAGGUAGCGUAGGAUCUCCUGAAAAUCACUAAUUUCUCCACUGGCACCAAGAAGAGAAUGCUUCCCAAUAGACUUCAUUCGCUCCACACUCUUGUAUCGCAAGGUGGAUCCAUAAGAUGCUGCCAUAUCAGCAGCCAUCAAAAUUCCGUCCUUAUACUUCAAAGCCACCACAGAUGUACCGGUGACGUAUGGGUACAGUGUUCUUUCAAAGGCAGAUUCGGGGCCCAGAAGCUGAGCGGGUCCGGAGUUAUUCUCCUUCACCAUCGUCGUGGCCAUGGCAGACGUAUCGAUCAAGCGGAAAUAGGUAAAAGCAGAGGAAGAGGAAGGCUUAUUAGGGAUCUUCUCAGGCUUGUUGGCGAAGACAGCUUGCAGGUGGAAG